CAGCGAGUCUGCCCGGGCAGGGCUCAUGGGGAAGCCAGAGGGCCCUGUACCCCAACUUCACAGUCAGUCGUGACUCUCAGCCAGUUUUAUUCUUCCUGCU